rnacentral:lncRNA from 1 species
GAGUAGAGAGCUAAUCAGCAGGAGGAAAAACACUAACAAGUUUUUCAACUUUAUCACUAAGUCCUGUGGUAUUUGUUUUUUUUUGUUCUGUGCCCUAGCUGCUGGAAUAAGAAAAGUUCAUGAGAAGCUUCUGUUAAAUAGAGUGUGUUUCUAGCCUUCCAGGAUGUGGAUGGAAGUUGAACAUAUGAAGCAAAUAACCUCAUGGGGUCAAGAAAAGAAAAAGAUUUUUCUCUGCUGUGAAGACUAUUUUGGAUGAAGUCACCUAAAAAGAAGUUGGAGCCAAACAUUUAGACAGAAGUUCUCCUAUGCCCUUACUUCAAGACCAAUCCUACUACAGCUGUUUCUGGGUCAUUUCCCCAAGUUGACCGAGACCUACUCUGCA